rnacentral:rRNA from 1 species
GACGAACGCUGGCGGCGUGCCUAAUACAUGCAAGUCGAACGCUGAAGGAGGAGCUUGCUUCUCUGGAUGAGUUGCGAACGGGUGAGUAACGCGUAGGUAACCUGCCUGGUAGCGGGGGAUAACUAUUGGAAACGAUAGCUAAUACCGCAUAAUAGUAGAUGUUGCAUGACAUUUGCUUAAAAGGUGCAAUUGCAUCACUACCAGAUGGACCUGCGUUGUAUUAGCUAGUUGGUGAGGUAACGGCUCACCAAGGCGACGAUACGUAGCCGACCUGAGAGGGUGAUCGGCCACACUGGGACUGAGACACGGCCCAGACUCCUACGGGAGGCAGCAGUAGGGAAUCUUCGGCAAUGGACGGAAGUCUGACCGAGCAACGCCGCGUGAGUGAAGAAGGUUUUCGGAUCGUAAAGCUCUGUUGUAAGAGAAGAACGAGUGUGAGAGUGGAAAGUUCACACUGUGACGGUAUCUUACCAGAAAGGGACGGCUAACUACGUG